GAACUUUGGACUGAAGCUUGAACUUUUUACGAACUUUUUGGAAGCAGGAGGACUAGGUCCAGCGGAAGCAGUAGGCUCAUUGGGGCUUGUUCUCGGAGAUGUGAAAUUAUUAGGCUUUGCACGGUAUCUUGAGGAUUGGGACACAUUCAUAAAGUUUGUACUCAGUUUGGCUAGACUUGGCCUCCUUGAAGCAGAAGAUUUACGAGCUGCAGGUGAACGACCUUUAGGAACAGCUUCUUGCCAGCCUUCAUCUGAGAUGUCAUCCUGUUCUGGGUCAGCAAUUUUAACCAACAACGGCUUAUCUGCUUGCACUGAAUCAGGUUUUUCAUUACCAGAUUCCACGAA
rnacentral:lncRNA from 1 species